rnacentral:rRNA from 1 species
CAUUACCACACCUAAAAAACUUUCCACGUGAACUGUUUGUACCAGAUUAGCGCCGUGACGUGCGAUUGUUGUUCUUUUUUGCUGCAUAUGUGGCGACAACGAUUGUGCGGACGCGGCUGAUCGAAGGUCGUGUGCGUGCUAGCGCGUGCUCGGCUGACUUAUCAUUUUCAAACCCCUUCUUACUUUAACAACUGAUCUUUACUGUGAGGACGAAAGUCUUUGCUUUUAAUCUAGAUAACAACUUUCAGCAGUGGAUGUCUAGGCUCGCACAUCGAUGAAGAACGCUGCGAACUGCGAUACGUAAUGCGAAUUGCAGAAUUCAGUGAGUCAUCGAAAUUUUGAACGCAUAUUGCACUUUCGGGUUAUACCUGGAAGUAUGUCUGUAUCAGUGUCCGUACAUCAACCUUGCCUCUCUUUGUCGGUGUAGUCCGUCCGAGAGCAUGUGCAGACGUGAGGUGUCUCGCUGCGUGUGUCUGACUUCUAUCAAGAAGUUCAUACGCGUGCUGCGAGUCCUUUUAAAACGACACGAUCUUUCUAUUUGCUUUCUACGGAGCGCGGAUCUCGAACGCGGCGGUCCUCGGAUCGCUCGCAGUCGACGGCGACUUCGGCGGAGACAUAUGGGAGAAACCACUAUUCGCGGUACGUUAGGCUUCGGCUGGACAAUGUUGCGUUCUAGUGUGUGGAUUCCGUCUUCGCUUUGAGGUGUACUGUUCGGUUGUGGGCUUGAACCUUGUGUGUCGCUUUGUUGUUAGUAGAGGUGCGCUGUCUCUGUGGUUUGAUUCCACAUGCAUUGUGUGGGUAGAUGGAUUCUAUUUGGGAAACAUUGUACUGCGCGCCUUCGGGUGUGUGUGUAUCUCAAUUGGACCUGAUAUCAGACAAGACUACCCGCUGAACUUAA